rnacentral:rRNA from 1 species
AUUGAACGCUGGCGGCAGGCCUAACACAUGCAAGUCGAACGGUAGCACAGAGAGCUUGCUCUCGGGUGACGAGUGGCGGACGGGUGAGUAAUGUCUGGGAAACUGCCCGAUGGAGGGGGAUAACUACUGGAAACGGUAGCUAAUACCGCAUAAUGUCGCAAGACCAAAGAGGGGGACCUUCGGGCCUCUUGCCAUCGAAUGUGCCCAGAUGGGAUUAGCUUGUUGGUGAGGUAAUGGCUCACCAAGGCGACGAUCCCUAGCUGGUCUGAGAGGAUGACCAGCCACACUGGAACUGAGACACGGUCCAGACUCCUACGGGAGGCAGCAGUGGGGAAUAUUGCACAAUGGGCGCAAGCCUGAUGCAGCCAUGCCGCGUGUGUGAAGAAGGCCUUCGGGUUGUAAAGCACUUUCAGCGGGGAGGAAGGCAAUGCGGUUAAUAACCGUGUUGAUUGACGUUACCCGCAGAAGAAGCACCGGCUAACUCCGUG